rnacentral:rRNA from 1 species
GAUGAACGCUGGCGGCGUGCCUAACACAUGCCAGUCGAGCGGCAGCGAGGGGUGCUUGCACCCUGUCGGCGAGCGGCGGACGGCUGAGUAGCGCGUGGGAACGUGCCCCAAAGUGAGGAAUAACUGCCCGAAAGGGUAGCUAAUACCGCAUAUUAUCUUCGGAUCAAAGGAUUUAUCCGCUUUGGGAGCGGCUCGCGUCGGAUUAGGUAGUUGGUGAGGUAAUGGCUCACCAAGCCGACGAUCCGUAGCUGGUCUGAGAGGAUGACCAGCCAGACUGGAACUGAGACACGGUCCAGACUCCUACGGGAGGCAGAGUGAGGAAUCUUCCACAAUGGGCGAAAGCCUGAUGGAGCAACGCCGCGUGCAGGACGAAGGCCUUCGGGUUGUAAACUGCUUUUAUAAGUGAGGAAUAUGACGGUAACUUAUGAAUAAGGAUCGGCUAACUACGUG